rnacentral:rRNA from 1 species
UACGUAGGGGGCAAGCGUUGUCCGGAAUCAUUGGGCGUAAAGAGCGUGUAGGCGGCCCGAUAAGUCCGCUGUGAAAGCCCAGGGCUCAACCCUGGGAUGCCGGUGGAUACUGUCGGGCUCGAGUCCGGAAGAGGAGUGUGGAAUUCCUGGUGUAGCGGUGAAAUGCGUAGAUAUCGAGAGGAACACCUGCGGCGAAGGCGGGUUGCUGGGCUGACACUGACGCUGAGGCGCGAAAGCGUGGGGAGCAAACAGG